GUGAGGAAUAUUGCGCAAUGGAGGCAACUCUGACGCAGCCAUGCCGCGUGCAGGAAGAAGGCGCUACGCGUUGUAAACUGCUUUUAACCGGGAAGAAACCCCAGGACGUGUCCUGGGUUGACGGUACCGGAGGAAUAAGCACCGGCUAACUUCGUGCCAGCAGCCGCGGUAAUACGAAGGGUGCAAGCGUUAUCCGGAUUCAUUGGGUUUAAAGGGUGCGUAGGCGGAGCGUUAAGUCAGUGGUGAAAUCCUGCAGCUUAACUGUAGACUUGCCAUUGAUACUGGCGCUCUUGAUUGCGCUUGAAGUGGGCGGAAUGUGCCGUGUAGCGGUGAAAUGCUUAGAUAUGGCACAGAACACCAAUUGCGAAGGCAGCUCACUAAGGCGAUACUGACGCUGAGGCACGAAAGCGUGGGGAUCGAACAGGAUUAGAAACCCCUGUAGUCC
rnacentral:rRNA from 1 species